ensembl:miRNA
UGCCUGGAGCUGCUUACAGCACGCAGUCCCAGCCAGCUGGCAGGCGUCUUCCAGUGGUUGGUUUGGUGCUGUCGAGCUGUUCCAGCA